rnacentral:rRNA from 1 species
GUGGGGAAUAUUGGACAAUGGGCGCAAGCCUGAUCCAGCCAUGCCGCGUGAGUGAUGAAGGCCCUAGGGUUGUAAAGCUCUUUCACCGGUGAAGAUAAUGACGGUAACCGGAGAAGAAGCCCCGGCUAACUUCGUGCCAGCAGCCGCGGUAAUACGAAGGGGGCUAGCGUUGUUCGGAAUUACUGGGCGUAAAGCGCACGUAGGCGGAUAUUUAAGUUAGGGGUGAAAUCCCAGGGCUCAACCCUGGAACUGCCUCUAAUACUGGGUAUCUCGAGUCCGAGAGAGGUGAGUGGAAUUCCGAGUGUAGAGGUGAAAUUCGUAGAUAUUCGGAGGAACACCAGUGGCGAAGGCGGCUCACUGGCUCGGUACUGACGCUGAGGUGCGAAAGCGUGGGGAGCAAACAGGAUUAGAUACCCUUGUAGUCC